rnacentral:rRNA from 1 species
AGCGAACGCUGGCGGCAGGCCUAACACAUGCAAGUCGAACGGACCCUUCGGGGUUAGUGGCGGACGGGUGAGUAACACGUGGGAACGUGCCUUUAGGUUCGGAAUAGCUCCUGGAAACGGGUGGUAAUGCCGAAUGUGCCCUUCGGGGGAAAGAUUUAUCGCCUUUAGAGCGGCCCGCGUCUGAUUAGCUAGUUGGUGAGGUAAUGGCUCACUAAGGCGACGAUCAGUAGCUGGUCUGAGAGGAUGACCAGCCACAUUGGGACUGAGGCACUGCACAAACUCCUACGGGAGGCAGCAGUGGGGAAUCUUGCGCAAUGGACGAAAGCCUGACGCAGCCAUGCCGCGUUGAUGAUGAAGGUCUUAGGAUUGUAAAAUCCUUUCACCGGUGAAGAUAAUGACUGUAGCCGGAGAAGAAGCCCCGGCUAACUUCGUGCCAGCCGCCGCGGUAAAAC